GAUUCUCCGUAGGGUGAACCUGCGGAGGGAUCAUUA
rnacentral:rRNA from 1 species